UGAUAGUGAUGAUGAUCGGAAGCUUGCUUCCGCCAUGGAUGACCUUCCUUUCAGAUUUUACCAAUUCUUCGUCAUGACUGCUCUUCGCAUUGAUCUCAUUCAACCUGGUCGCAUCCUUUGCUCUCUCAAAGUCCCUGAUCGUUUGCUUAACGAGAAUAAUUCCAUGCGCGAAGGAGCCUCCGCGUUACUCGUCGAUUGUCUAGG
rnacentral:misc_RNA from 1 species